rnacentral:rRNA from 1 species
AGAGUUUGAUCCUGGCUCAGAUUGAACGCUGGCGGCACGCCUAACACAUGCAAGUCGAACGGCAGCGGUAAGAAGCUUGCUUCUUAGCCGGCGAGUGGCGGACGGGUGAGUAAGACGUAGGGACCUGCCAUAGAGAGGGGGAUAGCCAGCGGAAACGCUGGGUAAAACCGCAUAGAACUCUGAGGAGAAAAGUGAUGGGAUCUUAGGACCAUCAGCUCGAUGAGGGACUUACGGAGGAUUAGCUAGUUGGAGAGGUAAAGGCUCCCCAAGGCGAAGAUCCAUAGCUGUUCUGAGAGGAAGAUCAGCCACACUGGGACUGAGACACGGCCCAGACUCCUACGGGAGGCAGCAGUGGGGAAUAUUGGACAAUGGGGGGAACCCUGAUCCAGCGAUGCCGCGUGUGUGAAGAAGGCCUAAGGGUUGUAAAGCACUUUCGUUGGAGAGGAGAGGCCACUGAAUAAUAAGCAGUGGAAGAGACGUAAUCCAAAGAAGAAGCACCGGCAAACUCUGUGCCAGCAGCCGCGGUAAGACAGAGGGUGCAAGCGUUAAUCGGAAUGACUGGGCGUAAAGGGCGAGUAGGCGGUUAAGAAAGUUGUAUGUGAAAUACCAGGGCUUAACUUUGGGGCUGCAUACAAAACUAAGUAACUAGAGAUCAGCAGAGGGGAGUGGAAUUUCCAGUGUAGCGGUGAAAUGCGUAGAUAUUGGAAGGAACACCAGUGGCGAAGGCGACUUUCUGGGCUGAAACUGACGCUGAGGAGCGAAGGCAUGGGGAGCAAACAGGAUUAGAUACCCUGGUAGUCCAUGCGGUAAGCGAUGAGUACUAGCUGUUGGUUAAUUAAUUUACGGAUUAGUGAUCAGUAGCGAAGCAAACGCGAUAAGUACUCCGCCUGGGGAAUACGGCCGCAAGGUUAAAACUCAAAGGAAUUGACGGGGGCCCGCACAAGCGGUGGAGUAUGUGGUUUAAUUCGAUCAACACGAAGAACCUUGCCUACUCUUGACAUCCUCAGGAUCCUGUAGAGAUAUGGGAGUGCCCGAGAGGGAAUUGAGAGACAGGUGUUGCAUGGCUGUCGUCAGCUCGUGUCGUGAGAUGUAGGGUUAAGUCCCGUAACGAGCGCAACCCUUAUACUUAGUUACUAGGUUCGCAAGAACAGGACUCUAAGUAGACAGCCGGUGAUAAGCCGGAGGAAGGUGAGGAUGACGUCAAGUCAUCAUGGCCUAUAUGAGUAGGGCUACACACGUGCUACAAUGGUAGGUACAGAAGGAGGCGAAGUCGCGAGAUGGAGCGGACCCGAAAAAGCCUACCGUAAUACGGAUUGAAGUCUGCAACUCGACUUCAUGAAACUGGAAUCGCUAGUAAUCGCGGAUCAGCAAGCCGCGGUGAAUACGUUCACGGGCCUUGUACACACCGCCCGUCACACCAUGGGAGUGGGUUGUACCAGAAGGAGGUAGUCUAACCCUAAGGGGAGGGCGCUUACCACGGUAUGAUUCAUGACUGGGGUGAAGUCGAAACAAGGUA